AUCUUAGAUGAGGAGUGAUAACGAGGAGGCUUGCCUCCGAAGUGAGUGAUACCCUGCUUCCAGGAAAAGCCACUAAGCUUCAGCUGCACACGACCGUACCGCAAACCGACACUGGUGCGCGAGAUGAGUACUCUAAGGCGCUUGAGAGAACUCUGGAGAAGGAACUCGGCAAAUUGACACCGUAACUUCGGAAGAAGGUGUGCCUUUAGUAGGUGAAGUCGUGCAGACGGAGCCCAAUGAGGCCGCAGAGAAUCGGUGGCUGCGACUGUUUAUUAAAAACACAGCACUCUGCAAAGACGAAAGUCGACGUAUAGGGUGUGACGCCUGCCCGGUGCUGGAAGAUUAAAUGAUGGGGUGCAAGCUCUUGAUUGAAGUCCCAGUAAACGGCGGCCGUAACCAUAACGGUCCUAAGGUAGCGAAAUUCCUUGUCGGGUAAGUUCCGACCUGCACGAAUGGCGUAACGAUGGCCACGCUGUCUCCUCCAGAGACUCAGCGAAGUUGAAAUGUUUGUGAUGAUGCAAUCUCCCCGCGGAAAGACGGAAAGACCCCAUGAACCUUUACUGUAGCUUCACAUUGGACUUUGAACAGAUCUGUGUAGGAUAGGUGGGAGGCUUUGAAGCGGUGCCGCUAGGUGUCGUGGAGCCAACCUUGAAAUACCACCCUGGUGUGUUUGGGGUUCUAACCUUGACCCGUUAUCCGGGUUGGGGACAGUGUGUGGUGGGCAGUUUGACUGGGGCGGUCUCCUCCCAAAGUGUAACGGAGGAGUUCGAAGGUACGCUAGGCACGGUCGGAAAUCGUGCUGAUAGUGCAUUGGCAUAAGCGUGCUUGACUGCGAGACGGACAUGUCGAGCAGGUACGAAAGUAGGACAAAGUGAUCCGGUGGUUCUGUAUGGAAGGGCCAUCGCUCAACGGAUAAAAGGUACUCUGGGGAUAACAGGCUGAUACCGCCCAAGAGUUCAUAUCGACGGCGGUGUUUGGCACCUCGAUGUCGGCUCAUCUCAUCCUGGGGCUGUAGCCGGUCCCAAGGGUAUGGCUGUUCGCCAUUUAAAGAGGUACGUGAGCUGGGUUUAAAACGUCGUGAGACAGUUUGGUCCCUAUCUUCCGUGGGCGCUGCAAGAUUGAGAGAGCCUGCUCCUAGUACGAGAGGACCGGAGUGGACGCACCUCUGGUGCAUCGGUUGCCACGCCAGUGGCAUAGCCGAGUAGCUAAGUGCGGAAGAGAUAACCGCUGAAAGCAUCUAAGCGGGAAACUCGUCUCAAGAUGAGUCUUGCCGGGGCCUUGAGCCCCCUGAAGAGUCGUUCGAGACCAGGACGUUGAUAGGCCGGGUGUGGAAGCGCGGUAACGCGUUAAGCUGACCGGUACUAAUUGCUCGUGAGGCUUGACCCU
rnacentral:rRNA from 1 species